rnacentral:rRNA from 1 species
UACGUAGGGUGCAAGCGUUAAUCGGAAUUACUGGGCGUAAAGCGUGCGUAGUCGGUUAUCUAAGUCGGGUGUGAAAUCCCCGGGCUCAACCUGGGAAUUGCAUUCGAUACUGGAUAGCUAGAGUUCGGCAGAGGGAAGCGGAAUUUCCGGUGUAGCGGUGAAAUGCGUAGAUAUCGGAAGGAACAUCAGUGGCGAAAGCGGCUUCCUGGACCAGAACUGACGAUCAGGCACGAAAGCGUGGGGAGCAAACAGG